AAGGGAAAUGUAACAUGUGACCAUAAUAUAAUCAUGUUUAUGUAUACUUGGAUUGAUCAUCAUUGAAUCUCUAACAAAUGUAACUUUGAUGUUGCUGUUUCCUGUAGAACUGAGUGAGUGUUGGCCUGAUUACUCCAGUCACAGUAAUCUAAUUAGUCCGGACACAGUGUGAUAGUAAUUAGCUAUUCAGGCAUUAUGAUUGAUGUAAGGAACUACUUUGAUGUUCCUUACACAAACUCACCUAACAAAGACCUUACAGCACGGGGGAUUUGUGGUGGUUGUAGACAAUAAGAAGGGAUCUUGGAGACAGAUGUUACACUCCAGGGGUCUGAGAGCAGGGGACAGGAUACCCGUCACCUAUUUCCUUUAUAUCAAAGAGGCUGAUCAAUAAGUUUGUUCCUCUCUAGGAGGAGCUUGAAGAUGUUUGAAGUCCUGCUUCUCCUGUGUCAUUAACUGUUUAACAACCCCCUCCCGAAUGGGUGGGGUUAGCCAAAUGUAUAAAUACCAACCACUGUCUUCCAUCUGGGUGCAUAUGACAAACUCAACUCUGUUGUAUGUACCAUGCUCGAGCAUUAAAUGUGUGACAAUACUGUAAGAGAAUUGUGUCUCGUUUCCUCCUUGCUAAAGGUGGGAUUGUAGAAAUUGCCACGACAAUUGGGGGCUCGUCCGGGAUGCCUAACUCAUUCACGCUUCAAACCAUUCUCAAGACCAAGUUUAAAUCUGCGCGCAGUCGGUGAGGGGAUUUUCUUUUUAUUAAUUAUUAUUGCCCAAGACCCGAAGUCUACCUCUCCUGAAGGGCAAGUCGUAAUCGACUCCCAGGGUGAGAAGAGGCUGCUUGUGAGAUUAUGGAAUGAAGAUUGUUCGAUACGGCAUCUGAAAUUUUUCUUUGAAGGAGGAUACAGUAUUGAAGAGCACGGGGUGACGCGUGAGGUAGAGUGACAUUACUUAGGGGUGAUGACCCAUUGAUAAAGGAAUUAAUAAGAAUAAUAUCAAUUAAUGUCAUCUAUGUGCUGGUAAGUGAGUGACUGCGAAUUUAAUUUAAAUGGGGAAACUUAAUAGCAAGCCUUUUACUGAAGUGUGUGAUCUAAUGGGAUGUGCAAAAAUUAUGUGUGAGAUACAUGGUGAUGACUCCUGUAAACAGCUUCUGGUGUGGGAGGAACAAUUUGGAUUUCCUGAGAAUGGAAGUUUUUGUAUAAAUCAAAUACAGGCGCUACAAGAUGAAUUGGUAAAACAUGAGAAAUGGUAAAACCAAAAUGGUAAAACCAAAAUUAAUUGGAUAGCAUUUUUGAGGUGGAGGAUUGAAUCUGAAAAAAAAAGAAACAGGCAACAAAGUAGUGAACUGGGGGGCAAGAGGGAGGGGAGGGAAACUAAUCAAUGUCCUCAGCUCUCACAUUCACAGAAAGAACUGGAUCUCCUCCCUGCCUCAGCCGCUCAUCAGAGCCACCUGAACCAACAGCCUGCUAUCUCAUACCGAGACCUCCAAGGACAGUCUGCCUCAACAGGACGCACCACAUCAGGUGCAGCAUUCGCUCCAACUCCAUGUCACCAGAAUCAGGGUGAGGCUGCUGCAACCAUCGCGGCACAAGACAGUCUUGGGUCAGACAGACUCAGUCCCAUCUCAACAAGAACAAGAGCAGACGCAGAUGCAGUGAUGUAUGUCUACAGAGCCUGGACACCAGAGGAGAUGUGCUGAAUUUCCAGUGAACUGUCAGACAUAGCGUCACAAGGAGGGCCUGCAAUUUUCGAAGUACUGUCCCAAAUUGUAUAACAGUAAAGGCAGACUUUGAGAGAAACCAGAAGUCUCUUGCUCCACAGCAUAAAACUGAAAUGGCAAGGGGCCAAGUAUAAAGGGACUGGCCAGGGACAGACAUGCGCUAUGACUGGAGAACAGAUGCGGUUUCGCGGACAUGUGAAGAGACUCUAUGAGAACAACCUGCUGGAAAGGUGGUCAAAUCUAUUAAAGUCUUCAAAGAUAACCGCUGAAUGUUGCCACCAGAAGACCCAGACCACUGUGCGAGAGACUGUAACACGACAAGGCUGAAAAGGAGAUCCACUCGAUUUAUUUUUCACGUAUCCCAGAGACUGCACAGAGGAUGAGGCAUGGCUUGAGGCAGAGGCGGAGGAGACUCCAGAUUCAGGCAACACUACAGGAGGCCAGGACGUACAACCCCCUGGCCAACCGAUUGAUCGCUUGCAAAUGGAUUUCAUUGAACUAACACCAUGUGAAGGAAAGGAGCAUUGUCAUGUGGCUGUUGACAUAUUUUCCCUACAGGUAAAGCAGAUGCCUCUGCAGUCGCAACGGUGUUAGUGCGAGAAAACAUUUACCCUACAAACAAGGGGUGGAGCAGUUGAAAGAGAACAUUGGAACAAUUAAAAACAAAUGGUCAAGUGCUGUGAUGACACAGAACUCUCAUGGAUCAAAGCACUACCGGUAGUGUUUACUGACCAUGAGAGGGAGGGGAAGGGCCCGAACAGGUAUGUACUGUGUGGACAUAACCAAAAUGUUGAGCCUUAUACACACAGGUAAAUGCAGCAAUCCCGCAACCAGCAGAGGGCCAGUUGCAUAAAUGGAAACCAGGAGACUGGGUGCUGAUAUAAGUCCGCCACUUGAGACGGAGGCCCAGGGAGAGAGUGUCGCUUCCCUCACAGACGAGGAACAAAGCAGAAGAAAGACGACAGCUCUCACUGAGGUGUAAAACCAUACCAACAACCAACAGCUGUUGCAGAUAAAGGAAGAAACGGCGAGAAAGAGACAGAAGGAACUAAAAAAAAAAGAAAAAAAAAAAAGAGAAGAAAGACCAGUACCAACUCAUCAUAAACCAACCCGACAGUAAAAUGGACAUCAUUUAUUUUAUCUUAUAAUUAUUUAACAGAGCGCACAGACCAAGUGAGUUCAAAACUGACUGUAGAAAAUAUCCAAAUUCAAGAUCAUUGUGCAUGCAAUGCUCCAACCACAUGUAGAAUUCCUAGCUCUGCCUGCUAGCUUCAAUGACACAGAAUGCUGGCCAGUAAGUAAUCCAGAAUAUACUUUUUGCGUCAUGGCAGGAAUGUGGAUAGCACCGUGGAAAACUCAAACCCAAAUAAUGUUCUUAGAAUUUAAAUCUGAAUUAUUGUUCAAAGCCUAUAUUUUCAUCUAAAUCCUCAGCCCGCAACUGCUCAGUCGCUUGGCAUCCUCUGCCAGUGCAUCCUAUGUCAAAUGUUUCUUCUGUGUACAGGAUCCUAGCCAAAUAAAUACAGCAAAUGCUUAUUUAAAUCAAACAAAAACUGUUUCUUUUAACAGACAGUCUGCACUGCCAGAGAAGGUGUAUUUAGUCUGUGGGGACCAGUGUUACAGCUGCUUACCAAGAGAAUCCCACAGUCGUUUGUUCAUGUUUUUGAUUGCCAUUUCUGUUAUCACUUGUAAGAUUGGUCUGAUUCGCAAACAAUGCACUUAGGCCAUUGUUACCGCUAUGCAAAUUGACCUCUACCCUAUCUCAGACUGGAUUCCACCAUAUGAUGACGUUGAUAAUAUAUCACACAACUGAAGUACCCUCAAUCGUCAACUUCGGACAGAGUGGGAUUUCCCCCACCUUAUAAAGUGUUAUUGAUCCAUAAUGAUCAAAAUGACGGAUUGUAAGGGAAAUGUAACAUGUGACCAUAAUAUAAUCAUGUUUAUGUAUACUUGGAUUGAUCAUCAUUGAAUCUCUAACAAAUGUAACUUUGAUGUUGCUGUUUCCUGUAGAACUGAGUGAGUGUUGGCCUGAUUACUCCAGUCACAGUAAUCUAAUUAGUCCGGACACAGUGUGAUAGUAAUUAGCUAUUCAGGCAUUAUGAUUGAUGUAAGGAACUACUUUGAUGUUCCUUACACAAACUCACCUAACAAAGACCUUACAGCACGGGGGAUUUGUGGUGGUUGUAGACAAUAAGAAGGGAUCUUGGAGACAGAUGUUACACUCCAGGGGUCUGAGAGCAGGGGACAGGAUACCCGUCACCUAUUUCCUUUAUAUCAAAGAGGCUGAUCAAUAAGUUUGUUCCUCUCUAGGAGGAGCUUGAAGAUGUUUGAAGUCCUGCUUCUCCUGUGUCAUUAACUGUUUAACAACCCCCUCCCGAAUGGGUGGGGUUAGCCAAAUGUAUAAAUACCAACCACUGUCUUCCAUCUGGGUGCAUAUGACAAACUCAACUCUGUUGUAUGUACCAUGCUCGAGCAUUAAAUGUGUGACAAUACUGUAAGAGAA